rnacentral:rRNA from 1 species
GACGAACGCUGGCGGCGUGCUUAACACAUGCAAGUCGAACGGAAAGGCCCUGCUUUUGUGGGGUGCUCGAGUGGCGAACGGGUGAGUAACACGUGAGUAACCUGCCCUUGACUUUGGGAUAACUUCAGGAAACUGGGGCUAAUACCGGAUAGGAGCUCCUGCUGCAUGGUGGGGGUUGGAAAGUUUCGGCGGUUGGGGAUGGACUCGCGGCUUAUCAGCUUGUUGGUGGGGUAGUGGCUUACCAAGGCUUUGACGGGUAGCCGGCCUGAGAGGGUGACCGGCCACAUUGGGACUGGGAUACGGCCCAGACUCCUACGGGAGGCAGCAGUGGGGAAUAUUGCACAAUGGGCGGAAGCCUGAUGCAGCAACGCCGCGUGCGGGAUGACGGCCUUCGGGUUGUAAACCGCUUUCGCCUGUGACGAAGCGUGAGUGACGGUAAUGGGUAAAGAAGCACCGGCUAGGUACGUG